rnacentral:rRNA from 1 species
GCAGUAGGGAAUCUUGCGCAAUGGGCGAAAGCCUGACGCAGCAACGCCGCGUGAGGGACGAAGGCUUUCUGAGUUGUAAACCUCUUUCGACAGGAACGAUUGUGACGGUACCUGUAGAAGAAGCACCGGCCAACUAUGUGCCAGCAGCCGCGGUGAUACAUAGGGUGCAAGCGUUAUUCGGAUUUAUUGGGCGUAAAGAGCUCGUAGGCGGUUCGAUAAGUCGGGUGUUAAACCCCCAGGCUCAACCUGGGGCCGCCACCCGAAACUAUCGUGACUAGAGUUUGGUAGGGGAUCACGGAAUUCCUGGUGUAGCGGUGGAAUGCGCAGAUAUCAGGAGGAACACCAGUAGCGAAGGCGGUGAUCUGGGCCAAUACUGACGCUGAGGAGCGAAAGCGUGGGGAGCGAACAGGAUUAGAUACCCUGGUAGUCCACGCCGUAAACGGUGGGCACUAGGUGUGGGGACUUUUCAACGGUUUCCGCGCCGCAGCUAACGCAUUAAGU